AACCAUGAUGGGGACACAAGCUAAGUAAUUCUUUAAAACGUUCCCAUGCAUGAUACAAAGUCUCACAAUCCUUUUGUGUAAAAGUUGAGAUUUGCCUUUUCAAAGCAU